rnacentral:tRNA from 1 species
GUCAAGUUGGCUGAGUGGUCUAAGGCGCCAGAUUUAAGCUCUGGUUCCUAAUGGGAGUGUUGGUUCGAACCCCACACUUGACA